rnacentral:rRNA from 1 species
AACGUAGGAGCCUAGCGUUAUCCGAAUUCACUGGGCGUAAAGCGCGUGCAGGCGGUUCGGUAAGUUGGAUGUGAAAUCUCCUGGCUCAACUGGGAGAGGACGUUCAAGACUGUCGGACUAGAGGACGGUAGAGGAAGGUAGAAUUCCCGGUGUAGUGGUGAAAUGCGUAGAUAUCGUAAGGAAGACCAGUGGCGAAGGCGGGUCUCUGGACAGUUCCUGACGCUGAGGCACGAAGGUCAGGGGAGCAAACGGG